CGUAGUUUUUAUUGCCAGCUAGGUAAGCCCCACAUGGUGCCUCCUCCUUCUGAUUUUUCUAGCAGCAAAAUGUCACUGAGCUGAAUUGUGCAGUCCAUGGUAAAACACAAACCUUUACUCCAUGAUGAAAGCAAAGCCUCAGUGUGUAUAACCUCUGUGUCUCUCUACUCACUGGAGAGCAGAGAGAGUUAAUUUAUGUCUGUCUGCAACAUCAUUCAUGAACUGAGCACUUGAAUUAAGUCUCAAGACCCUAAGUAGGGAAUUGUUUCUAUCUUUCUUAUGUGCUCUUGUAAGAGAAGAACUUGUUUUGGGAUGUAGUAAGUCACUUUGUCCCACUCCUGGUUUAGAUGGGCAAUCAAUGAGCAUCAAGAUUGUACACAAAUUCUUUGUAGAGUUUGUAUGUGUCUUGGGUGGAUUUCAGAAUGGACUUAAAGUUUCCUUCAAAUUCUCAUUGCAGAUUCACAGAAGGAUUGAGUCUGGAAGGGACCUGUGGAGGUCAUCUGGCCCAGCUUCCCUACUCAAGUAGAGCCAGUUGCCCAGGACCAUGUCCAGAAGGCUUCCAAGUAUCUCCGGUGAGGGAGGCUCCACAACCUCUCUUGGUAACCUGUGCCAGUGCUCAGUCAUCCUCAGAGUACAGAAGUAUUUCCUGACGUUCAGAGGGAGCCUCCUGUGUUUCAGUUUGUGCCUGUGGCCUCCUGUCCUUAACUGGGCACCACUGGAAACUCCUUGGCUCCACCUCCUUUGUGUCCUCCCUACAGACUUCUCACACUUUACUGAGGAAGGAGCACAUACAAGGGAAGAAAAACAAUGAAUUCAAGAGCAUGGAGCUGCUGAAAAACAAGGUUCACUGCCCUCUCCCCUGUGAUAACAAUGCUUGCACAGCUUGUGGAAAUAUGUCACAUUUCUGUGGUGCAGCAGAGUGGGAGGCAGAAAAUCUGGAUCUUAUUACAAGUUUGGCCAUAGUCUUCCUAUGUGAACAUGGGUAAAUUAUUUAUUUCUGCAUUCAUAAUACAGCCAUGUUAAUCACCUACUUCGCAGGGUGAAGGUGGCUGAUCUGUAGCAUUCUUGAGUGUUUAAGCAGUUGAGAUGGGACUCCUAAAAUAUGUAAAGUAUGUCUUAGUACUGUGUUUGGCUAGUAUGGAGACUUCUGGGCAACCUGAAGCUUCUCUGUGGGACAGAACAAGUGGCUACAGCUGCUAAUGCUUGUUCCACCCAGAUGUCCUGGGAUGUGGCUGCAUGGCAGCCCAGACCUCCUCUUCAACAGCUCCUCAGGUGAGUCACCCUCGUGUUCCAUCCUGUUAAGGUUUUGGUAUGAAACAUGUAGGAUUAAUGAAGUUGGCUAUCACUCCAACGUGAAAAUAAAGGAAAAUCUGCUGAGCUCUGGUGAGAAGAACUACCAGAGCAAAGCAGGCUGGAAGAGAGCAGGUGGUCCAAUCCCUCCUGCCACAUGCAUCUUUAUACCUGCAUGUCUGUUUAAGCCAUGCUUUAAAAUGUGCCACUGAUGCACCAAGCUGUUACCAAAGUGCAAAUAUCAGGAUUGAUUCAUACUACAAUGCACCUUUCAGCCAUCUUCUUGUUCUCCAAAAUAAAUAAGCUGCAUGGGUUAAAGAGUGCAGUCUUCCCCACAUGUGUCAAAAAUCUCUGGCUCACUCUGUUUGCUCAGUUGCUCUGAUCCUAUAAAUUAUGUGUACUGUGUUCAUCUUGGACUCCUACUGCCUUAUUUUCCCACUUACUGCAUAGCUUGGCAAUGUUAGAAGGGACAUAUUUCUCCUCCCCUUCCUUCUUUUUGUUUUUCUGGCUGUGCAUUUGAUUUAACUGGGACUGUAAAAUGACAGCAUUAAUUGCCAGUCUGCCACAAGCUUCACAGUUUAUUUGAUAGCGGGCACUCCUUACACCAUGGUGUAAAUGUAGCAAAGAGUCAUGCUAACGUACUCCUUCGAGUGCAGCUCGUCUGUGCAGUGUGUGUAAGAAAAAGGCCCACACUUGGCACUGACAGGGGUUGAGAAUAGAUCUGGCAAAACCUAUUCUUCCCUAGAAACUGAACCGAGAGAGUGAGCAACCUCCAGGCUCCCAGGCAGCAGCCAAGCAUCGGGCCCGGAUUCAAACUCCAUGCAAAGCUGAUGGAUGACACAGUCUAGAAAAAAAGGAAGAGGAGAGAAAGCUCCCUCUUGGUAAACAAGCUAUUCCCCAGUUGAUUCUGUUUAAGAUCCCCAUCCAGGAAAGGCUCCUGUGUGCACUUUGUACACUUACGUAAUUCCACCAAGCCGGGUGUGACAUCAGGGUGCUGCCCAAUUAAUCUAAUGUAAAAUUAUGUCUGAAGAUUAGGUGACUUCCAGGACUGGCUCUUUACUGACAAUCUUUGGACCAUUUAGAAAAAAAAAGCAUCUUUUCGGAGCAAUCAAGACACCAGGAGGAGCUCAUAAUAUGAAAUAUGGACCUGUUUUUCCUAAAAAUUUUCUAAAAUUAAAGAUUCUCAAACAUUUUAUUAUAGUUUUUCACUGCUUAGUCUUCCUUGCUAAACUACACUAAAGAUUAAAGCUUUUUGAAGGUGGAGGGGUAUAUGAAAAAGUUCAAAAGCCUUAAAAUUGCAUUAGUUGGUAGGGUGUAGCUGGUUUACCAGUUACCAAACAAUACUUAACUUCCAUACAAACACAACAUGCAAUUAAAUGCAUUCAUCUUGUUCAUCAGACUAGAACUGAAUCUUCCAGAAUUUAACUGUGCUUGAUAGCUGCACAUAACAUGAAAUGAUCUUGAAAAAGUUUGCCAUGAUAUUUAUUUCUGUCUUUUCCUCAAUUUACCAGGAACUAAGGCAGCAAAUCUGAGGGAGCAGUUUAAUAAGAAUAUGGGGCUACAGGUCCCUGAGAGACUAUAUGUGAAGUUCACAAUGGAAGCUCUGCAACUGAAGCCCUGGCAACAGAAUAAGCAGAACACACUUGGCUGUCAUUUUUCCAGUCUUCUCUGCUGCAGUGCUAAAUUGAAUGAAAGAGGAGCUAUUGACUGGCAACUCCAUGCAGAUGAAACAGUUCAAUUUCGACAAGGAAAACCUAUGUGAAGUUUCAGUGAAAAUCCACACAUGCUUUGCUCUUCUGGGUGAUGAAAUAUUUUCCUGAAGAAACCACCCAACAAUGUCAAAAUGUUUAAAGGUACUUGAUUGUGAAAUGCUGAAGAUCCUGGUGUUUGGCAUGGCUGCUCUCCCACUUGUAACCUUUUUCAAAGAAUCAAUAGAUGCUGCAUCUAAUAAUGACAAUGAGUGUGUAUUACAGAUAUACUACCUGGACCUGGAAGCUGAUGGGCAGACCUGAAAGUAUUGCAGAACUAAGUUUUAUCUGCAUGCUUCCUGAGAAUGCAGAACUGUUAAUCACAUGUGCAGAGUCUUGAAGACAAGGACCAGAAAACUCACUGAGAUUUUGAAACAACAAUAACGUAAAGCCCGUUGCAAGAUUUAAUAUAAAAUCUGAACAGUAAAGAAUUCUGUGAUGUAUCUGGUUCUUGUUUGAUGUACUUCUACUGCCACAGUUAAUAUAGUGUUUGCAGUGCACACAUAAAGCAGAUAUGCCCAGAUUCCUCUCUAAAAGAAUUAUUUUAUAGUCAUGCAUGCUAUCUUUUCUGUUAUUUCUCUCCCACAAUUUCUAUAGGCUUUAUUUAGUUAUGUAAGUUGUUCUUAACAGCUUUCAACAUAAUUUGCUUUAAGGUAACGGUAGUGAUAGAUGGUUAUAGAGAAGGCUAUAAGGAUUCUUCUAAGAAAGUUCUGAGCAAGAAGGAAGUCCCUCUUUCUUGGGGAUUUCCAGAGUCUGAGAGAAAAUAAUCCUCAAAUGAGCUAUUCAAAGACAAGAUUUUCUACUCUCAGGUGGUAAUGAUUGUUUAUUUCACUACAGCAGAAUAAAAAUCACCCUCCAGCACACCAUCAGUCAAAUUUUCAAAAUAUUUCAGCCCCCUGAAAAUAGAAUUGAAGUAGGAUCUAAGCUUUUCUAAAGGCUGGUGCCAGUUCUUCAGACAUAAAGUUCACUUUUCAGCCUUACUUACUCUGUAUGCUUGAAAACAUCAGUGAGCUGAGGAUUUUCUUGCUUUCUCUGCAGGCAUGCUGCAUGCAGGUGUGAAUAUUUUAUGCAGGAACUGCAGAAAGACAGGAACAUACAAAGCCUAUUGCACAGGCUGUCAUGUCUGGCCAAGGUGAGUCUGACUUGAACAUUCCCAAAGUAUUCCCUUCUUCCCAAAGUCAACAUGAACCCUCACUUCAGUUGUGUUAAAGUCAAGGGCUGGGCAAAGCUGACUCCAAGCAUUUAGCUGCUUAACAUCAUUAUUUUGCCCUUUGUAAAAUGGCAUCAUCAUUGGGAAACUCCUUGAAAUUCUUACCUAGAAGCUGCUUUAAAAAUUGGAACAUUAUUACUAUUAGGUUACUGUGGAACUGGAAAAAAAUUUGCCCUGAACUUUUCUCAAAUGUGUUUAUGACUAGAAGGCAGCCUACACGAGUCUGUAUCUAGACAGAUUCAUGAGCAUAAUGUUUCUCAAGGCAAAACUCAUUUUAGAGGCUCGCUAGAUUUACUUCAGACAGUUCCACCUUCCCUAUUUGGAACAGCCUGUUACCAGCCUAACUGCAAGAACUAAGCCAUUUAUGGACAGAUUUUUUUGUUUCUGUGCUAACACCACUGUCAGCAGGAGAAUGAUCACUGGAGGUGAUGCUAACUGUCAAAAAUGUAGUUGCUCUCCUGUAACAGUGACAAAAGGCUCUAAAGGGGAAGCAUGACCCUAUAAGACCUGCUUCUUCUGAUUCUAAAAGGAUCAGAUAAAAUGAGGAACUGGCUCUGGACUGUUAGGAUGGUUUUGUGAUGAGGUACAUGGCUUGGGCAAUCUGAUUAUGGGCCCUCUGCAUCUUGUACCUCCUUGAAGGUGAAAUUUGCUCUUUACCAGCUUUUCCCUUGGCGUUGCUCAUCUUUUGCUUACAACUAUCUACAUGGAUGAGAUUUUAGUAAUUUCUUACGUAAGGCAGUACAAUUUAAUGGUUUUGCCUAACUAGAACUAUACUAGUUUAUUUGAAGCAAGGGCAUGCCUUUCUGACAAAGUUCUCUCUAAACCAUUGAAUAUGUUGAACUAAUGUUUAUUUAUUUUUUGAUGAGUGCAAUGGUUUGGUAAUCAUCUAUAAAUACUUUUUCUUCCGAGUGUGCAGUGUUUAAUGUAUGGUUUUAUUUAUUAAAGAAUGGCGUGUACUUAGGUUACA